GAUGAACGCUGGCGGCGUGCCUAAUACAUGCAAGUCGAGCGAACAGACGAGGAGCUUGCUCCUCUGACGUUAGCGGCGGACGGGUGAGUAACACGUGGAUAACCUACCUAUAAGACUGGGAUAACUUCGGGAAACCGGAGCUAAUACCGGAUAAUAUAUUGAACCGCAUGGUUCAAUAGUGAAAGACGGUUUUGCUGUCACUUAUAGAUGGAUCCGCGCCGCAUUAGCUAGUUGGUAAGGUAACGGCUUACCAAGGCAACGAUGAGUAGCCGACCUGAGAGGGUGAUCGGCCACACUGGAACUGAGACACGGUCCAGACUCCUACGGGAGGCAGCAGUAGGGAAUCUUCCGCAAUGGGCGAAAGCCUGACGGAGCAACGCCGCGUGAGUGAUGAAGGUCUUCGGAUCGUAAAACUCUGUUAUUAGGGAAGAACAAAUGUGUAAGUAACUAUGAGCGUCUUGACGGUACCUAAUCAGAAAGCCACGGCUAACUACGUG
rnacentral:rRNA from 1 species